AUAUAAGGGAGGCAUAGAAAGGAUCAUAUACGAGGGUUAAAGGGGCGUUUUAUCAGUCACAGAUCUCUCAUAUUCUUUCCCCCAAAUCGACAUCUUAAUCAUUCGAUUAACAUCUUAGUAACUCGAUCAAGAUCUUCAGCAUUCUCACUCCCUCUGCAUCAUCUCGUGUACGCCGGACUUCGUCGGACUUCGUCUCACUCCAUCUCUCCGUCCGACUUGAAAGGAU
rnacentral:lncRNA from 1 species